GCCCAGGUAGCUCAGUCGGUAGAGCAGAGGAUUGAAAAUCCUCGUGUCGGCGGUUCG
rnacentral:tRNA from 1 species